AGCCUUUCCUGCGUCCACCAGGCGGGUCAGCUGGUCACAGAAGGAGACCAGGCUGGUCACACAUGGCCUACCCUUCGUAACCCCUGAUGACUGGCUCUGAUACCCUGGCCAUGCUGUGUCACAUUGGCCAGUUUCCAAUCAUCUGGAACCUCACCAGUGAGCCACGACUCCUGGUAAAUGAUGGAGAGCGGCUUGGCAACCUCAUCUGCCAGCUCCCUCAUCACCCUAGGGUGAAUCCCAUCUGGUCCCAUUGAUUUUUAAAUAUCCAAGUGUCCCAGCAGCUCUCUGACUGCCUCCUCUUGGAUAAUAAGAGGACCAUUCUGAUCCCUGGCACCACCUACCAACCCUUGAGGACAGUUGUCAUGAGGAUAAGCUGUCUUACCACUAAAGACUGAGGUGAAGAAAACAUUAAGCACUUCCGCCUUUUCCGCAUCUUUAGUAACUAGUUUGCCUGCUCCAUCCAAUAAGGAACCGAGGUUGGUUAUACCCUUCCUUUUACCAUUAAUAUAUUUGUAAAAACUUUUUUUAUUAUUUUUAACAGAAGUUGCCAAGUUGAGUUCAAACUGAGCUUUGGCCUCCCUAAUUUUUUUUCUACAUGCCCUGGCAGCACCCUUAAAUAAUUCCUCAGAAAUCACUCCCUCCUUAAAAAGAUGAUACAUCUUUUUCUUAUUUCUAAGUUCCUUCAAAACCUCAUUACUCAUCCAGACUGGACGUUUGCCUCGUCUACUCAUCUUUUGGCACACAGGGACAGUCUGUUCUUGUGCCCUCAAGAUCUCUGCUUUGAAGCACACCCAUCUCUCCUGGACUCCUUUGUUUUUAAAGGCUGUUUCCCAAGGAAUUCUCUGGACAAGUCUUUUAAAUAGGCCAAAAUCUGCCCUCCGGAAGUCCAGUGUAGAGAUCUUAUUGAUAUUCCUCCUUAUUUCACCAAUUAUUGAGAAUUCUAUAGUUUCAUGAUCACUAUGCCCCAAGCGGCCUACAACCUCCACAUCACCUACCAGUCCAUCUCUAUUUGUAAACAAUAGGUCUAACAUAGCCCCUCCCCUGGUGGGUUUGCCCACCAGUUGUGACAAAAAGUUAUCCUCCACACAUUCUAAAAACCUUCUAGAUUGCUGGUUUUUUGCUGUAUUGAGUUGCCAGCAGAUGUCUGGUAGGUUGAAGUCACCUACAAGAACAA